GGAGAGUCCCUUUAAGUUUGCUAGAAAAUCCUGGUCUUUGCAAAUUCUGCAAUGUUCUUUCACCAAACUACGUGAUCGCCAGGAUCAUUCUCAUGUAUUUUACAGAGCACUUCUCAGCCUGCCCCACAUGUGGUGUAUUAGGUACACAGCCAAGUGUUCUGGGAGUUGUAGUUCAAUUGUUGUCUUUCUACAUUAGAAUGCUAACUGCUAAAGUUCAAAU